rnacentral:tRNA from 1 species
GCCGGCGUGGCCUACUGGUUAGGGCGCUGGAUUUGUAAUCCAGAGGUCUCGAGUUCAAAUCUCCUCCCUGUCA